CGAAAGUAAGGUGUGAUAAUAGAAUAGAAUUACUCGAAAAUAGUUUAAAAAAUUAUAGAUUAGAUCAUUUUUAGAUUUUGCUCUUUUUACUUGCUCUUUCCUU
rnacentral:ribozyme from 1 species